UACGUAGGUGGCAAGCGUUGUCCGGAAUUAUUGGGCGUAAAGCGCGCGUAGGUGGUUUGGUAAGUCGGAUGUGAAAUCCCCGGGCUCAACCUGGGAACUGCAUUCGAAACUGCCUGGCUAGAGUUUGAGAGAGGGAAGUGGAAUUCCACAUGUAGCGGUGAAAUGCGUAGAUAUGUGGAGGAACAUCAGUGGCGAAGGCGGCUUCCUGGCUUAAAACUGACACUGUGGCGCGAAAGCGUGGGUAGCAAACAGG
rnacentral:rRNA from 1 species